rfam:Candidatus Parvarchaeum acidophilus ARMAN-5 ARM5contig_3445, whole genome shotgun sequence.
GCUGGGUUGGCUGAGCGGUUAAAGCGCUGGCCUUGAGAGCCAGUUGGGAUUUUCCCUGCGUAGGUUCGAAUCCUGCACCCAGCG